rnacentral:tRNA from 1 species
GGGAAUGUGGCUUAUUGGUAGAGUGCUUGCCUAGCAUGCAUGAAGCCCUGGGUUUGAUUCCUUGUACCA